AGUGAAGGUAGAGGUGCGAACUUCAAGAGUAAAAGUCCGGAGAAGGAUGAGCUUCAACGAUGGGCUUUGAAAGGGGAUGUUCGCCGAAGUGAAGAAAGGCUCAUUUCUUUCUUUGCUGGUCCAGUGUUGAAUAAAUACUGGAUUGUCAAGACGAAUCGUCUUGGAGCGCUAUCUUUCAU
rnacentral:ncRNA from 2 species